rnacentral:rRNA from 1 species
UACGUAGGGGGCAAGCGUUGUCCGGAAUCAUUGGGCGUAAAGAGCGUGUAGGCGGCCCGAUAAGUCCGCCGUGAAAGUCCAGGGCUCAACCCUGGAAUGCCGGUGGAAACUGUCGGGCUGGAGUCCGGAAGAGGCGAGUGGAAUUCCUGGUGUAGCGGUGAAAUGCGCAGAUAUCAGGAGGAACACCAAUGGCGAAGGCAGCUCGCUGGGACGGUACUGACGCUGAGGCGCGAAAGCGUGGGGAGCAAACAGG